UACGGGGGGGGUAAGCGUUGUUCGGAAUUACUGGGCGUAAAGGGCUCGUAGGCGGCCAACUAAGUCAUACGUGAAAUCCCUCAGCUUAACUGGGGAACUGCGUGUGAUACUGGAUGGCUUGGAUUUGGGAGAGGGAUGCGGAAUUCCAGGUGUAGCGGUGAAAUGCGUAGAUAUCUGGAGGAACACCGAAGGCGAAGGCAGUGUCCUGGCGAGUAUCCUGACGCUGAGGUGCGAAAGCCAGGGGAGCGAACGGG
rnacentral:rRNA from 1 species